rnacentral:rRNA from 1 species
CCUACGGGAGGCAGCAGUGAGGAAUAUUGGUCAAUGGGCGGAAGCCUGAACCAGCCAAGUCGCGUGAGGGAUUAAGGCCCUGCGGGACGUAAACCUCUUUUGCCGGGGAGCAGAGGUCCGGACGUGUCCGGGCCGGGAGAGUACCCGGAGAAAAAGCAUCGGCUAACUCCGUGCCAGCAGCCGCGGUAAUACGGAGGAUGCGAGCGUUAUCCGGAUUUAUUGGGUUUAAAGGGUGCGUAGGCGGGCAUUUAAGCCGGCGGUCAAAUGUCGGGGCUCAACCCCGGCCUGCCGUCGGAACUGGGUGCCUUGAGUGGGCGAGAAGUAGGCGGAAUGCGUGGUGUAGCGGUGAAAUGCAGAGAGAUCACGCAGAACCCCGAUGGCGAAGGCAGCAUACCGGCGCCCUACUGACGCUGAGGCACGAAAGUGCGGGUAUCGAACAGGAUUAGAUACCCCUGUAGUC